rnacentral:rRNA from 1 species
AGAGUUUGAUCCUGGCUCAGAAUCAACGCUGGCGGCAUGCCUAACACAUGCAAGUCGAACGAGAAAGUCCUUCGGGAUGAGUACAGUGGCGUACGGGUGAGUAACGCGUGGGUUAUCUACCUCUGGGUGGGGAAUAACUCGGGGAAACUCGAGCGAAUACCGCAUAAUACGUUUACGUUAAAGCAGCAAUGCGCCUGGAGAUGAGCCUGCGUCCGAUUAGCUAGUUGGCGGGGUAAUGGCCCACCAAGGCGACGAUCGGUAGCCGGCCUGAGAGGGCGGUCGGCCACACUGGCACUGAAAUACGGGCCAGACUCCUACGGGAGGCAGCAGUGAGGAAUUUUGGGCAAUGGGCGAAAGCCUGACCCAGCAAUGCCGCGUGAACGAUGAAGUCCUUCGGGAUGUAAAGUUCGUAAGCAGGAGAAGAACACCCUGACGGUAUCCUGGAAGC